rnacentral:rRNA from 1 species
CAGGACGAACGCUGGCGGCGUGCUUAACACAUGCAAGUCACGGGGGUCCCGCAAGGGAUAACCGGCGAACGGGUGCGUAACACGUGAACAACCUGCCCUCGUGUGGGGGAUAGCCAUGCUAACGCGUGGGUAAUACCGCAUACGUUCCUCGCGAGGAGUCUCGUGGGGAGGAAAGCUCCGGCGCACGGGGAGGGGUUCGCGGCCUAUCAGCUAGUUGGCGGGGUAAUGGCCCACCAAGGCGACGACGGGUAGCUGGUCUGAGAGGAUGGCCAGCCACAUUGGGACUGAGAGACGGCCCAGACUCCUACGGGAGCAGCAGUGGGAAUCUGCGCAAUGGACCGAAA